rnacentral:lncRNA from 1 species
UGCGGACGCGCGGGGGCGCGACAGCCCCGCCGACGGUACCGGAGCGGCGGCCGCGGGACCGCGGGGCACGGCUGGGCACGGCUGGGAACAGCUGGGAACAGCUGGGAACCGCUGGACACACCGCUGGGCACGGCUGGGAACAGCUGGGAACCGCUGGGCACAGCUGGACACAGCUGGGAACAGCUGGACACGGCUGGGAACGGCUGGGCACGGCUGGGAACGGCUGGGCACGGCUGGGCACGGCUGGGAACAUCUGGACACCGCUGGGCACAGCUGGACACAGCUGGCAGCACCGCUGCCUCAGACUGCACACCAUGACGGAGCCCUUCCAGCCAAGGCACGAGUGCAGAAGCUGACAAGCUGUGCCAGCUCGCAGAUCCCUGGCAGGCUGCACGUCCUGCGCUCAGGAUGUGCCGCAGACAGUGAGAGCUCAGAGUGAGACAGCCCCGUGCCAACAUCCU